rnacentral:tRNA from 1 species
AAGGAUUUAAGUUAAAAAAACUAAUAACCUUCAAAGUUGUCAAUAGACGGAGGUCUAAGCCUUA